rnacentral:rRNA from 1 species
CCUACGGGAGGCAGCAGUAGGGAAUUUUCCACAAUGGGCGAAAGCCUGAUGGAGCAACGCCGCGUGGGUGAAGAAGGUCUUCGGAUCGUAAAACCCUGUUGUUAGAGAAGCAAGUGCGUGAGAGUAACUGUUCACGUUUCGACGGUAUCUAACCAGAAAGCGACGGCUAACUACGUGCCAGCAGCCGCGGUAAUUCGUAGGUGGCAAGCGUUAUCCGGAUUUAUUGGGCGUAAAGGGAACGCAGGCGGGCUUUUAAGUCUGAUGUGAAAGCCUUCGGGUUAACCGGAGUAGUGCAUUGGAAACUGGGAGACUGGAGUGCAGAAGAGGAGAGUGGAACUCCAUGUGUAGCGGUGAAAUGCGUAGAUAUAUGGAAGAACACCAGUGGCGAAAGCGGCUCUCUGGGCUGUAACUGACGCUGAGGUUCGAAAGCGUGGGUAGCAAACAGGAUUAGAUACCCUAGUAGUC